rnacentral:rRNA from 1 species
UACGGAGGGGGUUAGCGUUGUUCGGAAUUACUGGGCGUAAAGCGCACGUAGGCGGAUUAGAAAGUUGGGGGUGAAAUCCCGGGGCUCAACCUCGGAACUGCCUCCAAAACUGCUAGUCUAGAGUUCGAGAGAGGAGAGUGGAAUUCCCAGUGUAGCGGUGAAAUGCGCAGAUAUUGGGAGGAACACCAGUAGCGAAGGCGGCUCUCUGGGCCGAUACCGACGCUGAGGAGCGAAAGCUAGGGGAGCGAACAGG